CCUUGAUUGACUUAUUAACAUGAAAAAUUUCAUCACCACAGCAGUAAAUUGUAUAAGUGUUUCUAUUGUGCAUACACAAUAGAAAUAUUAGUGACCCCUCUUUUUAAAAUAUUUUUAACCCUGCCCCCUUGUAUAAAAUCCAGAUGAAGGCCUGCAUGUAAUCGUUCAUGUACAUGUAUUGGUUUUGUCUUUAUAUUCUCCCUCCCCCUCUCUCCCUCAGGAGGAGAGCAGGGUUCAAGCAAGAGAGGAGGAAGAGAAGAGACGUGAGAUUGCAGAGAAAUUCCAAACAACAAUUGACGACAUUACGGAAAGAAUGCAAGAGCACCAUGACAGGAACGUGUCACUGAAACAAGAAAAUGCUGAUUUAGUAGGCAAGUUAAAGAAACUGAUUGAACAAUAUGAAGCGAGAGAAAAACAAUUUGAAGAGUUAUUGAAGCACAAGCAGUUGGAGCUUCAGUUAGGAGAAGCUAAACUAGCCCAGCAGAUGGUGGCAAUGGCUGAGACUAAAGAGAGCAACCUUGUGGAGAGACAAUAUGUGAGAAUGAGGCAUACUUUAAUUAAUG